GGCGGACGGGUUAGUAACGCGUGGGAACGUACCCUUUUCUACGGAAUAGCCUCGGGAAACUGAGAGUAAUACCGUAUAAGCCCUUCGGGGGAAAGAUUUAUCGGGAAAGGAUCGGCCCGCGUUAGAUUAGAUAGUUGGUGGGGUAAUGGCCUACCAAGUCUACGAUCUAUAGCUGGUUUUAGAGGAUGAUCAGCAACACUGGGACUGAGACACGGCCCAGACUCCUACGGGAGGCAGCAGUGGGGAAUCUUAGACAAUGGGCGCAAGCCUGAUCUAGCCAUGCCGCGUGUGUGAUGAAGGUCUUAGGAUCGUAAAGCACUUUCGCCAGGGAUGAUAAUGACAGUACCUGGUAAAGAAACCCCGGCUAACUCCGUGCCAGCAGCCGCGGUAAUACGGAGGGGGUUAGCGUUGUUCGGAAUUACUGGGCGUAAAGCGUACGUAGGCGGAUUGGAAAGUUGGGGGUGAAAUCCCAGGGCUCAACCCUGGAACUGCCUCCAAAA
rnacentral:rRNA from 1 species